GCAGUCGAGCGGUAGAGAGAAGCUUGCUUCUCUUGAGAGCGGCGGACGGGUGAGUAAUGCCUAGGAAUCUGCCUGGUAGUGGGGGAUAACGUUCGGAAACGGACGCUAAUACCGCAUACGUCCUACGGGAGAAAGCAGGGGACCUUCGGGCCUUGCGCUAUCAGAUGAGCCUAGGUCGGAUUAGCUAGUUGGUGGGGUAAUGGCUCACCAAGGCGACGAUCCGUAACUGGUCUGAGAGGAUGAUCAGUCACACUGGAACUGAGACACGGUCCAGACUCCUACGGGAGGCAGCAGUGGGGAAUAUUGGACAAUGGGCGAAAGCCUGAUCCAGCCAUGCCGCGUGUGUGAAGAAGGUCUUCGGAUUGUAAAGCACUUUAAGUUGGGAGGAAGGGCCGUUACCUAAUACGUGAUGGUUUUGACGUUACCGACAGAAUAAGCACCGGCUAACUCUGUGCCAGCAGCCGCGGUAAUACAGAGGGUGCAAGCGUUAAUCGGAAUUACUGGGCGUAAAGCGCGCGUAGGUGGUUUGUUAAGUUGGAUGUGAAAUCCCCGGGCUCAACCUGGGAACUGCAUUCAAAACUGACUGACUAGAGUAUGGUAGAGGGUGGUGGAAUUUCCUGUGUAGCGGUGAAAUGCGUAGAUAUAGGAAGGAACACCAGUGGCGAAGGCGACCACUUGGACUGAUACUGACUCUGAGGUGCGAAAGCGUGGGGAGUAACCAGGAUUAGAUACCCUGGUAGUCCACGCCGUAAACGAUGUCACUAGCCGUUGGGAGCCUGAGCUCUUA
rnacentral:rRNA from 1 species